rnacentral:rRNA from 1 species
UACGUAGGGUGCAAGCGUUAUCCGGAAUUAUUGGGCGUAAAGAGCUCGUAGGCGGUGUGUCGCGUCGGCCGUGAAAACCUGCAGCUCAACUGCAGGCUUGCGGUCGAUACGGGCAGGCUGGAGUUCGGUAGGGGAGACUGGAAUUCCUGGUGUAGCGGUGAAAUGCGCAGAUAUCAGGAGGAACACCGGUGGCGAAGGCGGGUCUCUGGGCCGAUACUGACGCUGAGGAGCGAAAGCGUGGGGAGCGAACAGG